CGCAUCGCAGGCUCCACAGCAUGCUGCUGUGCCUUAGAAAACAUUGAGAUUGUAAUUUCCAAGUUGUGCAGGCGAAUAGCCCGCAUGGCGUGCUAUAUUGCGAUGUAGCAAAGGGCGCGAAAGCAUGAUUUAUUCAACCACUCUUGGAUAAUUCCCACAUAUACAUGAAUUUGGCAUAUGUGCUGCUCACAUGAUUAGGCUUGGAAUGUAGGAAAUUGUUGGAUCACGUCAUAUAUCCUUAAUCUUACAAGGAUUAGGAUUAACAUAUUAUAUAUAUAUAUAUAUAUAUAAUCCUUGUUAGGCAAAA
rnacentral:lncRNA from 1 species